UGGGGGAAUAUUGCACAAUGGGCGAAAGCCUGAUGCAGCGACGCCGCGUGAAUGAAGAAGUAUUUCGGUAUGUAAAGCUCUAUCAGCAGGGAAGAUAAUGACGGUACCUGACUAAGAAGCCACGGCUAACUACGUGCCAGCAGCCGCGGUAAUACGUAGGUGGCGAGCGUUGUCCGGAAUUAUUGGGCGUAAAGGGAGCGCAGGUGGGACUUCAAGUCAGUCUUAAAAGUGCGGGCUCAACCCCGUGAUGGGAUUGAAACUGUAGUUCUUGAGUGCAGGAGAGGAAAGCGGAAUUCCUAGUGUAGCGGUGAAAUGCGUAGAUAUUAGGAGGAACACCAGUGGCGAAGGCGGCUUUCUGGACUGUAACUGACACUGAGGCUCGAAAGCGUG
rnacentral:rRNA from 1 species